rnacentral:lncRNA from 1 species
AUGUUAUCAAUUUAUUUAACUCUGAGGUUUAUACAGCACUUUCAUUUCCCUGCUUAGAGAGGAAGGGAGGGCGAGCAUUAUGACUUUCAUGUUACAUAUGAAGAAACUAAGCUUCAGAGAGGUUAGGACACUUGCCAAAGUUUAUAUGGCUCAUAAGUGGCAGAGUUGGAUGAGGAGGGAGGUAUUUCCUGAUUUCAUCCGGUGGUCAUUCUGUCACACUCUCAUGGCCUAGUGUUAGCAAGCAGGAAGAAAAAGAAAAGCAAGGGUUAGGACUGAUGGAUACUGACUAGGUUAACCCAGCUCCCCAAAAAGCAACACAGUUGGAAAAGAAAGACCUCUCCAUUUUUAUAUGUUUUAAAGCCCUCACCAGUGUCAUAUGGAAUGAAAAAUUAAUGAGCACCUGUAAAAGAUUUCAUUGCCCAGCUCCCUGGAGCCACAAUUUAAAGGUAAUGUUAUUUUCUAUAUUAAUAGCCAUUCCCAAUGAUGUUUCUUUUUACAUUAAUGCAGAUGCCAGGUAAUUUGGAAGAGACCAAAUAGACCAGGAGGAGCAACUCAGAUUGCUCACUCAGCAGCCCUCUAAUUUGAAAAGAGAGCUUUAGGAGCAGAGACUUCCCCUGGGACUCCCCCCAGGGUCAUUAGAUGCACACAAGCUACUCCUUAAAAAUAACAUCCCUAUUUCUUCUCCUCCGGAAAAAACUUGUGCCCCGGUAACUGUAGAAUAGAAUUCCAUUAUCGCAAUACUCCCACUGAGUUUCUCUUCCACUGCUCAUUUCUCAGACGUUUUCCUUAAACAUGACUGCUUGCUCCAGCACCGAUGAGGGAGGAGGAUGAAACAGUCUGCUCAUAAAAUGGCAAUGAUCAUCAUCUUGGUGAUUUCAGAUGAAGAAUGGAAAUGUCCUCAAUCUGAGAUCCGAGCUUAGUAUUUAGAGACAUCCUGAAGAAUUGCUCACCUUUUCAAGUCCUGUCCUCAUUCUGGAAGAGCUCAGGCUGCAACACUCUCUUGUAACCUUCAGCCUGACCUCCUUCAAAGAAGGAGAACCUUCUGAAUGUUCCCAGAUUCAUUGCCAUCCGCCCCCACCCUGCUUUUCUGACCAGAAACAUAAUUACUUCUCAGAGCAUAAAACAAAGGAAAUGCAUGGGUGUCUUUUCUGACACUGGUUUGAAGUUACUCUGAUAAAUUAGCCUAAAUUUGCACAGAGUUUCUCAAACGCAGUGAAUAUUUCAUGUUGAAUUCUUGUUGGGCCUUCAUAUGUGCCUGCCCCUUUCCUGUCAGUCUCUUGGUCUUUGAAGCACAACACCGUGGAGAAUUCAGGGACUAGCUAUAGAAAUAACAGACUUCAAAUAUUCCCAGUAAUACUGGCACAUCUGUCUGUCUGUCUGCCUAUCUAUCAUCUAUCUAUCAUUUACAUGCAUUGCCCUACAAAUAUGUACUACUAAGUACACAAAAUGCAUUUAAACACAUACAUAGACGAUGCAAAGUAAAAGAUGCUAUGAUUAUGAAUAGGGGUUGUAUUUUUCCUUUACUUGAAAGAAUCAUCUGAGGUUCUUCCUUAACCAAAGUUUUAAAGUUCUCUUAUGAAGCCCCUGGACUAACCAUCAUGUUCUACUCACCAUUUUCUCUCUCACAGUCCUUUAGGAUAUGGUGGGGAGAGUGAUCUUAAAGUUCUUAACCUGAACUAUUUCCACUUGAUUGUUACCUGGGCAGCAAAAUGAGCCAGACAUAUGGCUGGUGACAGGGUCUCAUGUUCCCAAACACAUCAGGCAAAGAACAGUGUGGUGGAGACCCAGUGAUCUUUCCCUCUAAGUCAUGUCUCCAGUGAAUGUCUGUAUGUCCUGAUUUAAGUGCUCUUAUAUAAAAUCACUUUGAAACACAGAAAAUAGACAAGAAAAAAAUAUUACUCUUGCCAACAUGAUAAUCUUAAAAAUCAAUCCUAAAAAGUAAGUUGUUAAGAACAAGUUUUCACUCUUGUUCUUACUCUCUUAAUAGAAGACAGGGAAACAGUCAAUAUUAUACCAUAUGUUAAAAAGAUUUCCAAAAAUAUAAAGCAGUGCCACUCUUCUCACUACUUUUUGUGUUAUUCUGGAAAAGUACUGUCAUUUUUUCAUAUGAAGUAUCAUAUUUAUGUUACUAUGUAAUGAUUUUUAUUGUUAUUUUGAAUGAAUUAGUAAAUUAACAACUAUUCACAGUUUUGUUAAAUAUUCACAAUUUUGUUUUCCGUUAUGGUCAAGCUUGAUAGAUAUAGUGCCUGUAAACAAAAGAUUCAUACUCUCAAAAAUUUUUAAGAGUGUAAAGGAUCCUGAGACCAAAAAGUUUGUGCAACUCUUUAGGGAGUAAAAGAAAGCAGGAUGGAUCCUUCCCAUUUGGAGCUUAGACUGAAUUACCUCAGGCAGCCCGGAAAUACUCAUUCCCUUCCAUGCACCACCCACUAUCACGGGGGCUGGAAGCCUGAGAACUCAUUUCCCAGAAUCCCUUGCCAGGAAGGCUUCAGAUUAGAUUCUGCCAAUGAGACACAUUCUCACAAGAUGUAGAAAAUAGACCCAAGCCGAAAAGCGACUCCAUGGGCAGGUGUCUGGGCUUUAGCAGAUGGGAGAUUUUUCAGCAGCUCUUGGUGUUGCUAUAGUCAUGGGUUUUGGGAUUCAGGCCGCCGUGAUUAUUACCAAUCAUUUCCUGUGAUUCCAGAAAGUUCUCAACUCUCUUGAAGCUAAUGGCAAACUUUAAUUUUUCUCCUCCCACCAUUUCAACAUUUUUGUAACCCUCGAAUUCCCUUACUUAUAUCUCUUUCUAUUGAAAACACCUCAAGAGGUUGUGUUUUUCUGAACCAUCUUCCUUUGUCACUGGAGUAUCAAAAGCCAAAUGAACAAAUAAAUUACAAAAUGCAGGCAAACUGUGAUUAAGUACCCCAAGAGAAAUAAAAAGAGUGCUGUAAUAUAGGCUAAGAAUUGACACUUUGUUUUAGGUUAAAAUAAAAUGUAUACAUGAGAAUUGUAUAAUCUGUUCAUUUAUGGUGCUGAUUCUUUAUUCGUUUUUGGUUUUCUAAGAAGACAUUUGGUUUGUUUUUUUUUUUUUUUUAAGUUUCCAGUUAUGAGGAAAUAAAACCAUAAAAUAAUAUUAGAAAUAUGACAUUGACUUUAAGAAAUUAAUACCAGUGUUCCUUGUCACAAUGAUUUGUUAAUGUGUUAUAAAAUUUUACAGACCCUUACCAUAUGGAAAUGUUUUGCACAGAAAUUCUUGGAAACGUAAUUUAGAAUCUUGUUACAGAGAAGCUUCAUAUAAAACAUUGAUUUGGUGAUAUGAUGAGUGAAAAGCAAAAUUUCCAUUAAUUUUUAUUUUAAUUUCUGAGAAAAUUUCUGCUUCAUUACCACUUCUGGAAAUAGCAGCACAAGCUAAGUCCUCUGAAACACAAUUUCUAGUGAGUGGAACAAAAACUUUAGACUGCUGAAAUGAAAUAUAUCAGACCUCAGCUUUGCAAAAAUAAGUGAUGUUCACCAUCAGUAAUUGAUUUAAUUAUUUUUACCGAAGUUGCAAGGAAGCCAGAUGUUGCAAUUAUAUUCAUCAGAUAAAAUGGAUGCUGUGUGUGUGUGUGUGUGUGUGUGUGUGUGUGUGUGUGUGUGUGUAGAUCUCCCUGAAACUUGGUGCUGCCUUCUUAGGUCUUUAAGAUAAAAAAGGAUGUGUCAGGAGUUCCCAUUGUAGCUCAGUGGCUUAAGGACCUGGCUUUGUCUCCAUAAGGAUGUGAGUUCGAUCCCUGGCUUCGCUCACUGUGUUAAGGACCUGGUGUUGCCACAAGGUACAGUGUAGUAGCUUGGAUGUGGCUUGGAGCCAGUGUCACUGUGGCUGUGGUGGAGGCUUGCAGCUGCAGCUCCAAUUCGCCCCCUGACCUGGGAACUUCCAUAUGCUGCAGGUGCAGCUGUAAAAAGGGAAAAAAAAGGAUGGAGCAUGGAGAUACACAGGUUUUUCUUUAGAAACAGCCUUAGAAGUCAAAUACCAAAUCAGUUCAUUUUCCAGAUUUCAAAAACUGCCAGAGCUAGUGACUAUUCCAAGGGCACACCCAGAAUGCAGCUACUGUCCCCAUUCUAGAGCAGUCACUGGAGCCCAAGACCCACUAACCAUGGGAAUGUAUACAACCACUAUGGAAAACAGUAUGGAGGUACCUCAGAAAACUAAAUAUAGAACUACCAUAUGAUUCAGCAGUCCCCAAUCUUGGGCAUUUUUCCAGACAAAACUUUCAUUGAAAAAGAUACAUGCACCUUAUGUUCAUUGCAGUACUGUUCACAAUAGCCGAGACAUGGAAUCAGCCUAAAUGUCCAUCAACAGAUGAAUGGAUUAAAAAGAUGUGGUACAUAUACACAAUGGAAUACUACUCAGCCAUAAGAAAGAACAAAAUAAUGCCAUUUGCAGCAACAUGAAUGGAAGAGACUCUCAUACUAGGUGAAGUAAGUCAGAAAGAGAAAGACAAAUACCAUAUGCUAUCACUUAUAUCUGGAAUCUAAUAUCUAGCACCAAUGAACCUGUCUACAGAACAGAAGCAAACUCAUGGACAUGGAGAACACACUUGUGAUUGCUAAGGGGGAGGAAGUGGGAUGGACUGGAAGUCUGAGGUUAGUAGAUGCAAACUAUUGCAUCUGGAGUGGAUAAUCAAUGAGAUCCUGUUGUAUAGCACAGGGAACCAUAUCUAGUCACUUGUGAUGGAGCAUGAGGAUAAUGUGAAAAAAA